rnacentral:rRNA from 1 species
UACCUACGGGAGGCAGCAGUGAGGAAUAUUGGUCAAUGGACGAAAGACUGAACCAGCCAUGCCGCGUGCAGGAUGAAGGCUCUAUGAGUUGUAAACUGCUUUUGUAUUAGGGUAAACACCCCUACGUGUAGGGGCUUGAAAGUAUAAUACGAAUAAGGAUCGGCUAACUCCGUGCCAGCAGCCGCGGUAAUACGGAGGAUCCGAGCGUUAUCCGUAUUUAUUGGGUUUAAAGGGUGCGUAGGCGGUUUGAUAAGAUAGAGGUGAAAUGUCGGGGCGCAACCC